rnacentral:rRNA from 1 species
UACGAAGGGGGCUAGCGUUGCUCGGAAUCACUGGGCGUAAAGGGUGCGUAGGCGGUCGGGUAAGUCUGAUGUGAAAUCUCACAGCUUAACUGUGAAACUGCAUUGGAUACUAUUCGGCUAGAGAGUUGGAGGGGGGACUGGAAUUCUUGGUGUAGCAGUGAAAUGCGUAGAUAUCAAGAGGAACACCAGUGGCGAAGGCGAGUCCCUGGACAACUUCUGACGCUGAGGCACGAAAGCUAGGGGAGCAAACAGG